CUGCUGGCGUGUGACCGAGGAUUAGCCAGCCGUUUUAAGUGAGAGCAUAUGGAAAUAAUAACUGCAAACUGACACACGCGUGAGCUAGCUUGUCCCCCAGAUGGAGGUGCUGAUAAAAAGAGGCUGGUUCGCAGUGAGUGGAAUCAAGCCGGAGAUUCAUUUGUCAAAAAACCCAACAAUACACUCUUCUUCGACGGGAGACAAAUAAGGAAAACAGGAUGGUAUAUUCCAGCUUGGCGUUCUCACCCAGGUCAGCGUCCGUUGCGGAGAUGCGUCCUAUCUCAGCGCCCGGGAUGGCCAGCUCGGAAACGGAGAAGGACC